GACGAACGCUGGCGGCGUGCCUAAUACAUGCAAGUAGAACGCUGAAGGAAGGAGCUUGCUCUUUCUGGAUGAGUUGCGAACGGGUGAGUAACGCGUAGGUAACCUGCCUGGUAGCGGGGGAUAACUAUUGGAAACGAUAGCUAAUACCGCAUAAAAUUGAUUAUUGCAUGAUAGUCAAUUAAAAGGUGCAACUGCACCACUACCAGAUGGACCUGCGUUGUAUUAGCUAGUUGGUGGGGUAACGGCUCACCAAGGCGACGAUACAUAGCCGACCUGAGAGGGUGAUCGGCCACACUGGGACUGAGACACGGCCCAGACGCCUACGGGAGGCAGCAGUAGGGAAUCUUCGGCAAUGGACGGAAGUCUGACCGAGAAACGCCGCGGGAGUGAAGAAGGUUUUCGGAUCGUAAAGCUCGGUUGUAAGAGAAGAACGAGUGUGAGAGUGGAAAGUUCACACUGUGACGGUAUCUUACCAGAAAGGGACGGCUAACUACGUG
rnacentral:rRNA from 1 species